AUUGAACGCUGGCGGCAUGCCUUACACAUGCAAGUCGAACGGUAAUAGGUUGCUUGCUCCGCUGAUGAGUGGCGAACGGGCGUGUAAUGCAUCGGAACGUAUCGAGUAAUCGGGGAUAGCUCGGCGAAAGCCUGAUUAAUACCGCAUAUGCCCCGUGGCGUAUAGUGGGGGACCGGAAGGUCUCACGAUAUACGAGCAACCGAUGUCUGAUUAGGUAGUUGUAGCGGUUAAGGCACACCAAGGCGACGAUCAGUAGCGGGCCUGAGAGGAUGAUCCGACACACUAGGACUGAGACACGGCACAGACUCCUACGGGAGGCAGCAGUGGGGAAAUUUAGACAAUGGGAGCAAUCCUGGUCCAGCCAAGCCGCGUGGCUGAAGAAAGCAUUCGGGUAUUAAAGGACUUUUGUCCGGGAGCAAAUCCUAGUGGUUAAUAACCGCUGGGUCUGAGAGUACCGGAAGAAUAAGCACCGGCUAACUACGUG
rnacentral:rRNA from 1 species